AUCUUCUUUCAGCUAGCAGCAUCCAGGAACUCUGGAGAAUGGGAGAAGGGAGAGCUUCGAAAUAGCUGUGUGUUACCAGGAGAAUAGGUUUUCCUAUCACUGAUACAGGGAGCCUGCUCCAAUGGUCCCUGAACUCAAUGAAAAGAUUCUCAUGGACUUGAAUGGAUGUUGGAACAGGGCCAAAAUGAGGAUUUCAUUUAUAAAGCAGUGCAACUUAGUUGAACAGCUUUUCAGACAAAGCAGUUAGAAAAAGUCCUUUCCUUCAGGAAUUUAAGGGUAUCUUGAUGAGGAAAGCCAACAAGGAGUGACAGAGGUCGCAGUGGAUGUGAGGUUUCUGAGGAUCUGCAGGGUAGGGAUUCUCAGCUCCUUCGAGGCAAGUCUGCAUGAACAACUGAUCCUGCUUCUGCUGUGCUGAACCCCUAACUCCACCUUCCCCCCUGGAGGGUAGCCAGAAGAGAAUGGAAUCAGCCAGGAAUGG